CUUGGUCAUUUAGAGGAAGUAAAAGUCAUAACAAGGUUUCCGUAGGUGAACCUGCGGAAGGAUCAUUAAUAGUGCCCUCUGAUGCAAAUCAUUGGGUUAGAUCUGCUCUCUUCGCAGGAAGAGGGUUUCCAUACACACCGUGAACUGUGGCUUCGGCCAUCACAAACUGUUAGUAAUGAAUGUAAUAUCAUAACAAAAACAAAACUUUUAACAACGGAUCUCUUGGCUCUCGCAUCGAUGAAGAACGCAGCGAAAUGCGAUAAGUAAUGUGAAUUGCAGAAUUCAGUGAAUCAUCGAAUCUUUGAACGCACCUUGCGCCCUUUGGUAUUCCGAAGGGCAUGCCUGUUUGAGUGUCAUGAAACCUCACCCCACUUGGGUUUUUGCCUGAGCGGUGGUGUAUUGGGUGUUGCCUUGCUAAAGGCUCGCCUUAAAGACAUAAGCACCUUGGAUGUAAUACGUUUCAUCCUUCUGGGUGGCUGAUAACCCCACAUAUUCAUGAUCUGGCCUCAAAUCAGGUAGGGCUACCCGCUGAACUUAAGCAUAUCAAUAAGCGGAGGAAAAGAAACUAACUAGGAUUCCCUUAGUAACGGCGAGUGAACCGGGAUGAGCUCAAAUUUAAAAUCUGGCGUCUUUCAGGCGUCCGAGUUGUAAUCUAUAGAGGCGUUUUCCGCGCCGGACCGCGUCCAAGUCUCUUGGAAUAGAGUAUCAAAGAGGGUGACAAUCCCGUACUUGACGCGACAACCGGUGCUCUGUGAUACGUUCUCAAUGAGUCGAGUUGUUUGGGAAU
rnacentral:sRNA from 1 species